rnacentral:rRNA from 1 species
GACGAACGCUGGCGGCGCGCCUAAUACAUGCAAGUCGAGCGAGAAGACGUAGCAAUACGUUUGUAAAGCGGCGAACGGGUGAGGAAUACAUGGGUAACCUACCCUAGAGUGGGGAAUAACUAGCCGAAAGGUUAGCUAAUACCGCGUACGCUCCUUGGACUUCGGUUCAGGGAGGAAAGCGAUGCCGAGGGUAUCGCGCUCUUGGAUGGGCUCAUGUCCUAUCAGCUUGNGGUGAGGUAACGGCUCACCAAGGCUUCGACGGGUAGCUGGUCUGAGAGGACGAUCAGCCACACUGGCACUGCGACACGGGCCAGACUCCUACGGGAGGCAGCAGUAAGGAAUAUUGCGCAAUGGGCGAAAGCCUGACGCAGCGACGCCGCGUGGGGGGA